AACGAACGCUAGCGGCGUGCCUAACACAUGCAAGUCGAACGAGAAAUCCUGAGCAAUCGGGAGAGUAAAGUGGCGCACGGGUGAGUAACGCGUGGGUAAUCUGCCCUGGAGUUAGGAAUAACACCUCGAAAGGGGUGCUAAUACCUGAUAAGAUCCUGAAAACCUCGGUAUUUGGGAUAAAAGAUAGCUGAGGCUUGCAAGCUAUUGCUCUAGGAUGAGCCCGCGUACCAUUAGCUAGUUGGUGAGGUAAUGGCCCACCAAGGCAAUGAUGGUUAGCUGGUCUGAGAGGAUGGCCAGCCACACUGGAACUGAGAUACGGUCCAGACUCCUACGGGAGGCUG
rnacentral:rRNA from 1 species